rnacentral:lncRNA from 1 species
AAUUCUGUUUACUCACAAGCAUACAUUUCUAUGUGCUAAUGGUUUUCUUGAAUUUCUCAGAAAAGUUCAGCCUCUCCUUUGAAGGCUUUGGUGUUGGCAGCUCCUGCUCCAUCAUCCUCUGCUAGAGCUGCUUUGUCCAAACCCGCUGAUGAAGGGACUACGCUUAAAGAGAAACCUUCAGUCCCGGAACCUUUAUCACAACCAAUGGACGAGCCACCUUCUUCCCAGGGCGCCGACCCCCCAAACGUUGAACCAGAAG